rnacentral:rRNA from 1 species
UACGAAGGGGGCUAGCGUUGCUCGGAAUCACUGGGCGUAAAGGGUGCGUAGGCGGGUCUUUUAAGUCAGGGGGUGAAAUCCUGGAGCUCAACUCCAGAACUGCCUUUGAUACUGAAGAUCUUGAGUUCGGGAGAGGUGAGUGGAACUGCGAGUGUAGAGGUGAAAUUCGUAGAUAUUCGCAAGAACACCAGUGGCGAAGGCGGCUCACUGGCCCGAUACUGACGCUGAGGCACGAAAGCGUGGG